AUGUUGGCCGGGCCGGGGCCGUGGCUGCUCGCCUUGGCCUUGGCCUUGUGGCCGGCAGGGCUCUGGGCACAGCUGAGGCUGCAGGAGGCCGGCGGAGGGCUGCGAGCGUCCGGGGACUCUGUCACUCUCUCCUGCCGCGGCUCAGGCUUCACCUUUAAGGAUUAUGGAUUUUGGUGGUACCGUCAGUCCCCCGGAGGCCGGCUGGAGUGGGUGUCCAUUAUUAGUUACAAUCCGAGAGUUUUUUAUUUUGACCAGUCAGUGCAGGGCCGGGCCAAGAUUUCCCGGGACAAUUCCCGGUCUGAGGUUUAUCUCUCCCUGCUGACCCUGCAGCCCCGCGACUCUGCCCGGUACUUCUGUGCUGUUCACACAGCAACAGGAAACACAGCUGGGCUUUAACACAAAUCAGCUCGGGUCUGGCUCAGCACCCACGAAAUUUGGAGAUGGUGAAUUCCAAAGUGGUUCAGGGCUGUUCUUAAGAAAUCAGGUGCCGUCCCCAUGCAGCACCAGUGAUCCUGGUCUUUCACCAAGAGCUCCUUUCCCAACACUGAGGCUUUCCUUCUCCUGAGUCCCAAUUGCAAUGUUCUAUUCUGUAGAGGAGGUUCAAGGUUUUUCUGUCAUCCAAUCAGCCUGGUGACUGCCUGGCUCCAGUCCCACUCAGCCUUCCUUGGUCCCCUUCUUAAGUGGAGCAUGCAAAGCGCCUGGGCUUUGGCAACACCUUUGCCAGCUUCCUGUGACCCUUUUGGGGCCAUCUCCUUGCACCAGUGAGAGCAAAGCAGUGAUUUAAUGGCCUGCUUUUCUUUCAGGUGCAUUUCAAGGUGAUGAGAUCCAAGCAACAAGCUGUGCAGUGUGGUGGCCAGCAGGGAGCACUGGGACCCUCCGUUCCACUUACAGCUCCAAAGCCUCCUAUAUUUACGUGGCCUGGUAUUGGCAGUGUCCUGGUGAACCCCUGCAGUACUGCUGUGGUGUCAGGGCCGUGGAAGCUCCUACAGCCACACAGCCCCUUUUGCCCACAGGAAGCUUUCCUGCUGGGCUGAUGAGAGCUCUGGGACACUGACCAUCAGUGGGCUGGAGCUGGGGGACAGUGCACUCUAUUACUGCUCCCUGGAGGGACCCCAGUGGGAGAGAGACACUUGGGAUGUGCCUGAACUGCAUCAGCUUUGUCCCCUUCUCCUCUCCUGCAUGUUCACGUGGAUCCCAGCCCAUGCAAGGGGAGAGUCAGUGAGUGGGCUGUGCCUGGGGUCAGGGAAACGGGGUCUCAUUGGUCCUGGGAGCUUGCAGAGGUGAGGAGGAGAGUAGGGAGAGGGGAGAAAAAACUGUUUCAAUGGGAAGGAAGCUACAACAACCACCUAGUUCAACUGCCUGACCA